rnacentral:lncRNA from 1 species
CUCUGAUAAAGCCAAGGCUUCAGUUCUAAAUCUGUGUGCUUUGACCCUCUUUCUCACAUCUAUCUCUCAAGGACUGCAUUUUAAAGAAUCCACCAGCUCCUUGGUCUCCUCACUAUGGCUGCUAGUUGUCAGCUAGCCCCAGUCCUUCUUGACAGGGAGACACCUGGUUUCUACAGGGAUGAGAAUCAGAAACUCUGGAUGGUUGUAGGCCUGGACUUCACUCUUGACCACCUUCCCAACAAUAAGCAUGGAGUCAUUAUCACUGUCAGGUUGUGGAAGGUGGGCGACUGUUUCCCAGAAAUCCCGUACCAAUUAUUGCCAAGUUUGACAUGUCUCCCCAGGAUGUGGCAGACACAGUCUCAGUUUACAUAUAGAGGGUCCGAUUCAAACUUCUGGACAAAUGUGCAACACACCAAGAUUAAAGACAGAGAACACCUGGUCCUAGUACUGUGGGAGGAACUUGGUGUCCAGUCUAGAAGUGUCUCCUGGUCAGCUCAGCCCUGAACUUCAGAUGAUCUGCUACUGUGAGACUGGCUGUCUGUGUCCUGAGCCUUCUCCCUUCCUGGGUACAGCUUCCCCUUUCUUGUCUCCUUUUGCCUGUGGUACUGGCUUCACAGAUCAUCCUUAUACAACACCUAUUCCUUUGAACCCCUCUCCUGGGCUCCCAGUGCAGCAUGUCCCUCAGGUGACUCUAAUCUGGAGGUGCUUGUGGAGCAGGUAUGGAUGGGGUCUCCAUGUCCUGUGGAUCUCUGGGCUAAAAAUUCUGGCCAGAAGUGGACCUGGUGCUGGUCAGAUGACUCUGCUCAGCGGCUUGAAGACACAAUGGGAUGUGUGCAGGAGCAGCUGGUGUACUUCUCCCUCAGGCUCAGUACUUUGCUCCUAAAAGUGAUACUGACCCAAACCCCCACCCCAAAC